rnacentral:rRNA from 1 species
UACGAAGGGUCCAAGCGUUGUCCGGAUUUAUUGGGUUUAAAGGGUGCGUAGGCGGCUUAUUAAGUCAGUGGUGAAAGCUCCAUGCUUAACAUGGAAAUUGCCAUUGAUACUGAUGAGCUUGAGUACACUUGAAGUGGGCGGAAUAUGUCAUGUAGAGGUGAAAUUCUUAGAGAUGACAUAGAACACCGAUUGCGAAGGCAGCUCACUAAAUUGAAACUGACGCUGAGGCACGAAAGCGUGGGGAUCAAACAGG